UACCAGCACCCCGAGUGGUCGGGACGUUUAUUGGGCCUAAAGCAUCCGUAGCCGGUUCUACAAGUCUUCCGUUAAAUCCAACUGCUUAACAGGUGGGCUGCGGAAGAUACUAUAGAGCUAGGAGGCGGGAGAGGCAAGCGGUACUCGAUGGGUAGGGGUAAAAUCCGUUGAUCCAUUGAAGACCACCAGUGGCGAAGGCGGUCGACUGGGCCAGUACUGACGCUGAGGCGCGACAGCGUGGGGAGCAAACAGG
rnacentral:rRNA from 1 species